AGUUUGAUCCUGGCUCAGGAUGAACGCUGGCGGCGUGCCUAACACAUGCAAGUCGAGCGAUUCUCUUCGGAGAAGAGCGGCGGACGGGUGAGUAACGCGUGGGUAACCUGCCCUGUACACACGGAUAACAUACCGAAAGGUAUGCUAAUACGAGAUAAUAUGCUUUUAUCGCAUGGUAGAAGUAUCAAAGCUUUUGCGGUACAGGAUGGACCCGCGUCUGAUUAGCUAGUUGGUAAGGUAACGGCUUACCAAGGCGACGAUCAGUAGCCGACCUGAGAGGGUGAUCGGCCACAUUGGAACCGAGACACGGUCCAAACUCCUACGGGAGGCAGCAGUGGGGAAUGUUGCACAAUGGGCGAAAGCCUGAUGCAGCAACGCCGCGUGAACGAUGAAGGCCUUCGGGUCGUAAAGCUCUGUCCUCAAGGAAGAUAAUGACGGUACUUGAGGAGGAAGCCCCGGCUAACUACGUGCCAGCAGCCGCGGUAAUACGUAGGGGGCUAGCGUUAUCCGGAAUUACUGGGCGUAAAGGGUGCGUAGGUGGUUUCUUAAGUCAGAGGUGAAAGGCUACGGCUCAACCGUAGUAAGCCUUUGAAACUGGGAAACUUGAGUGCAGGAGAGGAGAGUGGAAUUCCUAGUGUAGCGGUGAAAUGCGUAGAUAUUAGGAGGAACACCAGUUGCGGAGGCGGCUCUCUGGACUGUAACUGACACUGAGGCACGAAAGCGUGGGGAGCAAACAGGAUUAGAUACCCUGGUAGUCCACGCCGUAAACGAUGAGUACUAGCUGUCGGAGGUUACCCCCUUCGGUGGCGCAGCUAACGCAUUAAGUACUCCGCCUGGGAAGUACGCUCGCAAGAGUGAAACUCAAAGGAAUUGACGGAA
rnacentral:rRNA from 1 species